rnacentral:rRNA from 1 species
UACAGAGGGUGCGAGCGUUAAUCGGAAUUACUGGGCGUAAAGCGCACGUAGUCGGCUUUGCAAGUCGGGUGUGAAAUCCCCGGGCUCAACCUGGGAACUGCAUCCGAGACUGCAUUGCUAGAGUAUGGGAGAGGGAAGCGGAAUUUCUGGUGUAGCAGUGAAAUGCGUAGAUAUCAGAAGGAACAUCAGUGGCGAAGGCGGCUCACUGGCCCGAUACUGACGCUGAGGCACGAAAGCGUGGGGAGCAAACAGG